rnacentral:rRNA from 1 species
AUUGAACGCUGGCGGCAGGCCUAACACAUGCAAGUCGAACGAGUGGCGGACGGGUGAGUAAUGUAUGGGAAACUGCCUGAUGGAGGGGGAUAACUACUGGAAACGGUAGCUAAUACCGCAUACCAUCAGAUGUGCCCAGAUGGGAUUGGCUUGUUGGUGGGGUAACGGCUCACCAGGGCGACGAUACCUAGCUGGUCUGAGAGGAUGACCAGCAAAACUGGAACUGGGACACGGUCAGAACUCCAACGGGAGGCAGCAGUGGGUAAUAUUGGACAAUGGGCGCAAGCCUGAUGCAGCCAUGCCGCGUGUAUGAAGAGGGCCUUCGGGUUGGAAAGUACUUUCAGCGGGGAGGCGUUACCCGCAGAAGAAGCACCGGCUAACUCCGUGCCAGCCGCCGCGGUAAUAC